GACAGAGGCCUCGAGCGUUAGGCGGAAUCACUGGGCUUAAAGCGUGUGUAGGCGGGCCCGUAAGUGUCUUGUGAAAUCCCACGGCUCAACCGUGGAACUGCUGCGCAUACUGCGGGUCUUGGGCCAACUAGGGGCAGCCGGAACAAGCGGUGGAGCGGUGAAAUGCGUAGAUAUCGCUUGGAACGCCGAAGGUGAAAACAGACUGCUGGGGUUGCGCCGACGCUGAGACACGAAAGCCAGGGGAGCAAACGGG
rnacentral:rRNA from 1 species